rnacentral:rRNA from 1 species
GACGAACCACACGAACGUUAUUCGGAAUUACUGGGCUUAAAGGGUGCGUAGGCGGCGCGAAAAGUUGGGUGUGAAAUACCUCGGCUCAACCGAGGAACUGCGCCCAAAACUAUCGUGCUCGAGGGAGAUAGAGGUGAGCGGAACUUACGGUGGAGCGGUGAAAUGCGUUGAUAUCGUAAGGAGCACCCGUGGCGAAAGCGGCUCACUGGGUCUUCUCUGACGCUGAUGCACGAAAGCUAGGGGAGCAAACGGG